rnacentral:rRNA from 1 species
AUACGUAGGUGGCAAGCGUUAUCCGGAUUUACUGGGUGUAAAGGGCGUGUAGGCGGUUUGGCAAGUCAGAAGUGAAAUUCCCGGGCUUAACUUGGGCGCUGCUUCUGAAACUGCUUAACUUGAGUGCUGGAGAGGAUAGUGGAAUUCCUAGUGUAGCGGUAAAAUGCGCAGAUAUUAGGAGGAACACCGGUGGCGAAGGCGGCUAUCUGGACAGUAACUGACGCUGAGGCGCGAAAGCACGGGGAGCAAACAGGAUUAGAUACCCUGGUAGUCCGUGCCGUAAACGAUGAAUACUAGGUGUAGGGGGUAUCGACUCCCUCUGUGCCGCAGUUAACACAUUAAGUAUUCCACCUGGGGAGUACGGCCGCAAGGUUGAAACUCAAAGGAAUUGACGGGG